UGCCGGCGUACCCGGCGGCGCUGCGGGCGCGGUGGAAGGCCUCGAAGAUGUCCGGCUGGUCCUCCGCGGGGAUCCCGAUGCCCCGGUCGGCGA
rnacentral:tRNA from 1 species